rnacentral:rRNA from 1 species
UACGAAGGGGGCUAGCGUUGUUCGGAAUUACUGGGCGUAAAGCGCACGUAGGCGGAUUUGUAAGUCAGGGGUGAAAUCCCGGGGCUCAACCUCGGAACUGCCUUUGAUACUGCAAGUCUCGAGUCCGAUAGAGGUGAGUGGAAUUCCUAGUGUAGAGGUGAAAUUCGUAGAUAUUCGCAGGAACACCAGUGGCGAAGGCGGCUUACUGGUCCAUUACUGACGCUGAGGUGCGAAAGCGUGGGGAGCGAACAGG